AGAGUUUGAUCAUGGCUCAGAUUGAACGCUGGCGGCAUGCUUUACACAUGCAAGUCGAACGGUAACAGGUCUUCGGAUGCUGACGAGUGGCGAACGGGUGAGUAAUGCAUCGGAACGUGCCCAGUCGUGGGGGAUAACGCAGCGAAAGCUGUGCUAAUACCGCAUACGAUCUAUGGAUGAAAGCGGGGGAUCGCAAGACCUCGCGCGAUUGGAGCGGCCGAUGUCAGAUUAGCUAGUUGGUGGGGUAAAGGCCCACCAAGGCGACGAUCUGUAGCUGGUCUGAGAGGACGACCAGCCACACUGGGACUGAGACACGGCCCAGACUCCUACGGGAGGCAGCAGUGGGGAAUUUUGGACAAUGGGCGCAAGCCUGAUCCAGCAAUGCCGCGUGCAGGAAGAAGGCCUUCGGGUUGUAAACUGCUUUUGUACGGAACGAAAAGGUCUGGGUUAAUACCCUGGGCUCAUGACGGUACCGUAAGAAUAAGCACCGGCUAACUACGUGCCAG
rnacentral:rRNA from 1 species